GAUGAACGCUGGCGGCGUGCUUAACACAUGCAAGUCGAACGAUGAAGCCCAGCUUGCUGGGUGGAUUAGUGGCGAACGGGUGAGUAACACGUGAGUAACCUGCCCUUAACUCUGGGAUAAGCCUGGGAAACUGGGUCUAAUACCGGAUAGGAGCGUCCACCGCAUGGUGGGUGUUGGAAAGAUUUAUCGGUUUUGGAUGGACUCGCGGCCUAUCAGCUUGUUGGUGAGGUAAUGGCUCACCAAGGCGACGACGGGUAGCCGGCCUGAGAGGGUGACCGGCCACACUGGGACUGAGACACGGCCCAGACUCCUACGGGAGGCAGCAGUGGGGAAUAUUGCACAAUGGGCGCAAGCCUGAUGCAGCGACGCCGCGUGAGGGAUGACGGCCUUCGGGUUGUAAACCUCUUUCAGUAGGGAAGAAGGGAAAGUGACGGUACCUGCAGAAGAAGCACCGGCUAACUACGUG
rnacentral:rRNA from 1 species